CAUGAAAUCAAAACUAACGGCUGUUUGGCCACACCUCCUCCAUGCUGUAGCCUCCCUCUCUACUCCAGCAACACACCUCCAAGUCCAACCCCCCUCAACUCGCGUUCGCAAGGAGUCAAGCUCCAGCGGUGGAUAACAUUUCCCUUGUAAAAGCUUUCUUACGGAAAAAUGUCAAGUGACGAGUCGGAUGUCGGUAUGGCUGCUGAAGCAGGCUGCAGCGACUAGCUACCAUCGACAAGGGGCCGGUCGAGUGUCCGAGGCCAUUGCUUCAGCCGUUUGGCAUCAUUCGCCCUUUACUGCCUUGAUGCAGGUGUUUUGCGGGUCCACAGGAACUUCAGGGAGGACAUCAAUCUACUUGGCAGGGCAAGGGAGUCAGCGCAAAACAACCGGGAGUACCGCUUUGCUGCAUACAGAAGCUUUAUAUGUUGGAAACCGGUUGGUAAUUCCCAGCUGCUGUGUGUGGAGGAUUACAAGUGGCCUGAUCCCUAUGCUCAGUAUACUGGAUAUAUUCCUGGCCACUAGCAAAACUUCUUUUACAUGUGGCUACAUGCACAUUUGGGGCAUCAAAUGCCAACACCAACUUGUUUGAAGUGCUUUGUAUUCCGUUAGAAUUAUUUAAUGUUGCAUUUCUUUUAAUAAAUCUAAUUUUGUGAUGUAAAA